rnacentral:rRNA from 1 species
GCUCUUACGGGUGGCGAGUGGCGGAGGGGUGAGGAAUACAUCGGAUCUACUUUUUCGUGGGGGAUAACGUAGGGAAACUUACGCUUAUACCGCACACCACCUACGGGUGAAAGCAGGGGAUCUUCGGACCUUGCGCGAUUGAAUGAGCCGAUCUCGGAAUAGCUUGUUGGCGGGGUAAAGGCCCACCAGGGCCACUAUCCGUAUCUUGUCUGAGAGGAUGAUCAGCCACACUGGAACUGAGACACGGUCCAGACUCCUACGGGAGGCAGCAGUGGGGAAUAUUGGACAAUGGGCGCACGCCUGAUCCAGCCAUACCGCGUGGGUGAAGAAGGCCUUCGGGUUGUAAAGCCCUUUUGUUGGGAAAGAAAUCCCGCCCGCUAACACCUGGUUGGGAUGA